UUGGAAGUGCCGCCUUCAAUUCCUUAUAACUCCUUCAUAUGAACUCCAAAAGUAAUAAUUCUUUCAUAAAAGAUGUAGACCUUAAAAUUGCCGUUCCAAUCGCACCUUCCGAUCUUCAAAAGCGGCUGUAAAACUCCUCGUAUCCUCCAAAGAGUAAUAGUAUAUCUUAAAUUAAUACUUUAACUUUAAACGGCUAUAACUUCUUCAUCCUAACUCCAAAUCUUCUAAUUUUUGCACACAUAUUGUAUCCAAAAUCCUAAAUUUUACAACCUUAGCUUGUAAUCUCCAAAUCCUUUUGAAAGAAGAACCCUAAUCUCUAAUAAGGCCUCGGGCAGCCUCUUUGAAGCCCAUUGGGCAUGGCCUUAAACCAAUAGGAAUGAAGUUUUUCAUUCCUUGCUUUCAUCCAACCAUGCCUUGCUUUCAUCCCUUCUAAUUAGCCUCUUACUAGUUUAGAUUUUCAUCCUUAGGCUUCCACCUUCUUUCAAGGCUUCAUACUAAAUAUUUAGGUCUUAUAUAUA
rnacentral:lncRNA from 1 species